rnacentral:rRNA from 1 species
UACGGAAGGCAGCAGUGGGGAAUAUUGCACAAUGGGCGCAAGCCUGAUGCAGCCAUGCCGCGUGUAUGAAGAAGGCCUUCGGGUUGUAAAGUACUUUCAGUCGUGAGGAAGGCGUUAAGGUUAAUAACCUUAGCAAUUGACGUUAGCGACAGAAGAAGCACCGGCUAACUCCGUGCCAGCAGCCGCGGUAAUACGGAGGGUGCGAGCGUUAAUCGGAAUUACUGGGCGUAAAGGGCACGCAGGCGGUUAAUUAAGUUGGAUGUGAAAUCCCCGGGCUUAACCUGGGAAUGGCAUUCAAGACUGGCUAGCUAGAGUCUUGUAGAGGGGGUUAGAAUUCCAUGUGUAGCGGUGAAAUGCGUAGAGAUGUGGAGGAAUACCGGUGGCGAAGGCGGCCCCUGGGACAAGACUGACGCUCAUGUGCGAAAGCGUGGGGAGCAAACGAGGAUUAGAUACC